rnacentral:rRNA from 1 species
UACAGAGGGGGCAAGCGUUGUUCGGAAUUACUGGGCGUAAAGCGUGUGUAGGUGGUCAAGAAAGUCGGUUGUGAAAUCCCUGGGCUCAACCCGGGAACUGCUUCCGAUACUUCAUGACUCGAAUUCGGUAGAGGGAGGCGGAACUCCAGGUGUAGCGGUGAAAUGCGUAGAUAUCUGGAAGAACACCAAUGGCGAAGGCAACCUCCUGGGCCUGAAUUGACACUGAGACACGAAAGCGUGGGGAGCAAACAGG